rnacentral:rRNA from 1 species
UACGUAGGGGGCAAGCGUUGUCCGGAUUCAUUGGGCGUAAAGAGCGUGUAGGCGGCCAGGUAGGUCGGUUGUGAAAACUGGAGGCUCAACCUUCAGAGGUCGACCGAAACCAUCUGGCUAGAGUCCGGGAGAGGAGAGUGGAAUUCCUGGUGUAGCGGUGAAAUGCGCAGAUAUCAGGAAGAACACCCGUGGCGAAAGCGGCUCUCUGGAACGGUACUGACGCUGAGACGCGAAAGCGUGGGGAGCGAAUAGG